UACGUAGGGGGCGAGCGUUGUCCGAAGUUACUGGGCGUAAAGCGCGCGUAGGCGGCCAUCUAAGUCUGGGGUGAAAGGUUCAGCGCUCAACGCGAACAGUGCCUUGGAUACUGGUGGCUUGGGUCCGGGAGAGGGCAGUGGAAUUCCUGGUGUAGCGGUGAAAUGCGUAGAUAUCAGGAGGAACACCGGUGGCGAAGGCGGCUGCCUGGCCUAGGACCGACGCUGAGGCGCGAAAGCGUGGGGAGCGAACGGG
rnacentral:rRNA from 1 species